rnacentral:rRNA from 1 species
GUGGCGGACGGGUGAGUAACACGUGAGAAUGUAUGCCUUUAGGAGGGGGAUAACAAUCGGAAACGAAUGCUAAUGACCCCAUAUGCUUUUGAGUAAAAUGGAUCUAUCCGCCUAAAGAGAAGCUCGCGGCUGAUUAGUCUUGUAGGUGAGGUAAGAGCUUACCAAGGCGACGAUCUGUAUCUGGUUUGAGAUGACGAUCAGACACACUGGAACUGAGACACGGUCCAUACUCCUACGGGAGGCAGCAGUGGGGAAUUUUCCGCAAUGGGCGAAAGCCUGACGGAGCAAUACCGCGUGAGGGAAGACUGCCUAUGGGUUGUAAACCUCUUGUUUUCAGGGAGGAAC